UGCAUACAAAAUUUAUAAGACCUUUCAAAUGUAAACAAAGACUAUUCUUAAUAAUCUGAUAAGAUUCAACGAGAAAUAGACAACAAUGAUUUUUUUCUUCUUCAGUUUUAUUUAUGUAACGAUAUAUAAUGUCUACUUAUAGCGAAAAGAAGGGAUAACAUACACGUGCUAAUAAAAUUUUUACGAUUAAAAACUUUAUUUUGGUUUGCUUUGUAAUUGGGAAAAAUAUAUAUAAUGUUGUGUACCUGUAGGAACUUUGGGCUAUACAUUGUCUGGGACCAUCAUUGUCGGGUAACAUGCUAGUGAGAGAAAAAAAAAAAAAGAAGAAGAAGAAAACAAAAAGAAAAAAAGAAACAGAAGGAAAAAAAGAAAAGAAAAGAAAGAAAACAACUUAAAACAUUUCAAUACGUUUUCGACGUAGUUACAAAACAACGGCUUAAAUCUAUACUAAAGCUAAAGAUCUAUUAAAUCUAAAUUUUAUAUGGUAACAAAUCUGGUAUAAAAUACAAUGUCUGUGAUACGCGCAUACGUAUAUUUUAGAACGAAUAAAAGAUAUGAUCGAGAAAAAAAAUUUGUUUCUAUGCAUUCAAGUUUAAAAUGCAAUUGUCUUCUUACAAUGUAAAUCUGUAGGACUUAAAAAAAAAAAAAAUACGAGAGAAAAAAGAAAAAAAAAAAAAAAAGAGAAAGAAAAGUGUAAAGAAAGCAAUAAGAUUAUAAAAACAUAUCCGAUUAUAAUCCAUACAUUGAACUGUACCAACAUGUAAAGCCGCCCACGUUAAACGAAUUUGACACAUGGCACACGAUUAAUUGAUUUUUAAAGUUCGAGCUUGAACGAUCUCUUGGAUUUCUUGAAACUGUUGAAAACUUUGGACUAGCGUUAACAGUAAAUUGGUAUAAAUU